rnacentral:lncRNA from 1 species
UAAAUAUCUACUCAUGGGAUUGCUGGGCUGUAUGGGGGCAGCAUCUUCUACUAUGUGCAUCUACAUUGGAUGGCAGUGGAGCAACACAGAUUGUUUUCUGACAAAAAUCAGCCAAGUACUAGGAGAGGCAGGACUUUAGAAGUGGAGGAGAUGGAGAAGGAAGCUUAGGUUACUAUGGAGUGUGCAAAAAGGUCCUGUGGAUUUAGAUACCACCACACACAAAUGCUGUUGUUGGAAGGUACCUGCCCAGAUAAGGACUGCAUUUCCUCUAGCAUCCAGAUGGGACCAAAUGACUGCUGGCCAAUAGAAGUGAGUGGAAAGGACUGACUCCAGUUCCAGGUUGGGCCUCCAACUGCUCUGGGCACGUCGAUGGAACAGAACACCACCUCCACCCCAAUACCACCAAUUCAACUUUACAUGAAUUAUAAGCGAGAAAUAACUUGGACUGUGUUAAGUCAUUGAGUUUCUG